GCUUCCUGCAGGUGUGGCAGAGUGGAAACACUGACAGAGUGGGGAACUCAGACUCAUUGAGCUCAAGGUAUUGAGCACAGAGAGAGACAUGAUGAUUCUAGCUCUCUCGUCUCCUCCACAGCUCAGUUGCUUAAAUGUAGCUCUCCUUCCCAACACACACACCCCAGUCAUUUUCUAUUGCCCAGGAACAAGUUAGCAGAGAAUCUUCUGGGUGGCCUGGGCCCCAGGGAUCCCUGGGGAACAGCAUCUCACCAGGGCAUCUAGCCAAGGGUGUAAAGACGGGACGUCAGUUCCAGAGCCUUCCUGGGCUCCUUCAGGAUGUGGAGAGGUAAAGAAGGCUUUGACAACAAGCAGGGUGAGUAACACAGGGCCUGGACACAAUCCCUUCUGCACUAUUUAGAAGGGAAGGGGCCUGCUCAAUGAGUCUGAGUUCCCCACUCUGUCAGCUACCACCAAAAGGAGGAAUCAGUGGGAUGAGAGAUGAGAAGGUGUCAGAAGCAGGAAAGGAGUGAGGAGGCCUGGACUUCCAUAGAUGGCAAGAACAUGCCCCUAGAUGAGGGAGAGUAAGGAAAGAGGCAACGUUCCUGAACACAGAGAUUUCUCAAUUCAGAUCAUUAUUCAGAAACCUAGACUCUGUGACCAAGGGGAUUCAUACUCUUUGGUUUCUCUAAGUAGGGCAACUCUGUGAGGGUAUCUUAAGAUCCCAUCUCAGGUAGCAUCCUGGGGAUGAUCUGAAUGUUUGCUUGAGAUGUCACCUUUCGCCAUGAGAUUGUUCUUCAUAUUCUCUUGGAUAAGAAGAGCCUUUAAGGAAAGCACUUGACUUGGAGGUAGAGGAAAGCAAACAUGUUGAAUCACUCCUUUUGACUCCCACAGAC
rnacentral:lncRNA from 1 species